AUUGAACGCUGGCGGCAGGCCUAACACAUGCAAGUCGAGCGAGCGGCGGACGGGUGAGUAAUGUCUGGGAAACUGCCUGAUGGAGGGGGAUAACUACUGGAAACGGUAGCUAAUACCGCAUACCAUCAGAUGUGCCCAGAUGGGAUUAUCUGGUAGGUGGGGUAACGGCUCACCUAGGCGACGAUCCCUAGCUGGUCUGAGAGGAUGACCAGCCACACUGGAACUGAGACACGGUCCAGACUCCUACGGGAGGCAGCAGUGGGGAAUAUUGCGCAAUGGGCGCAAGCCUGAUGCAGCCAUGCCGCGUGUGUGAAGAAGGCCUUCGGGUUGUAAAGCACUUUCAGUGGGGAGGCGUUACCCGCAGAAGAAGCACCGGCUAACUCCGUGCCAGCCGCCGCGGUAAUAC
rnacentral:rRNA from 1 species